rnacentral:lncRNA from 1 species
AUGUAGAAUCAUUAUGAUGGAUCCAGGUUCAUACUAUAACAUGUAGAAUCAUUAUGAUGGAUCCAGGUUCAUACUAUAACAUGUAGAAUCAUUAUGAUGGAUCCAGGUUCAUACUAUAACAUGUAGAAUCAUUAUGAUGGAUCCAGGUUCAUACUAUAACAUGUAGAAUCAUUAUGAUGGAUCCAGGUUCAUACUAUAACAUGUAGAAUCAUUAUGAUGGAUCCAUUUUCAGCCUUUACCCAUUGCCCUUCAUUCUCUAGACUUCCAGGUAAUACAUAGAUCUCCACCAGGUGAAUCUCCUUGCUGGAUUCAUGUUGAAACAGCUAUGAACAGG